AAUGAACGCUGGCGGCGUGCUUAAUACAUGCAAGUCGAGCGAACAGACGAGGUGCUUGCUCGCUUGACGUUAGCGGCGGGCGGGUGAGUAACACGUAGGUAACCUACCGAUAGGACUGGGACAACGACGGGAAACCGGAGAUCACACCGGACAAGAUUUCGAACCGCGGGGAUCGAUAGUGAAAGAGGGCUCUGCUCUCACGUAUAGAUGGACCGGCGCCGUAUUAGCUAGUUGGUAAGGUAACGGCUUACCAAGGCAACGAUCCGUAGCCGACCUGAGAGGACGACCGGCCACACUGGGACUGAGACACGGCCCAGACUCCUACGGGAGGCAGCAGUGGGGAAUCUUCGGCAAUGGGCGCAAGCCUGACGCAGCAACGCCGCGUGAGUGAAGAAGGCCUUCGGGUUGUAAAACGCUUUUAUUAGGGAAGAACAAACCUGUACUAAACUGUGGACGUCUUGACGGUACCUGAUCAGUAAGCCCCGGCUAACUACGUG
rnacentral:rRNA from 1 species